UACGUAGGGGGCUAGCGUUGUCCGGAAUUACUGGGCGUAAAGGGCUCGUAGGCGGCCAACUAAGUCCGACGUGAAAUCCCCAGGCUUAACCUGGGAACUGCGUCUGAUACUGGAUGGCUUGAGUUUGGGAGAGGGAUGCGGAAUUCCAGGUGUAGCGGUGAAAUGCGUAGAUAUCUGGAGGAACACCGGUGGCGAAGGCGGCAUCCUGGACCAACACUGACGCUGAGGAGCGAAAGCCAGGGGAGCAAACGGG
rnacentral:rRNA from 1 species